GACGAACGCUGGCGGCGUGCUUAACACAUGCAAGUCGAACGAUGAAGCCGGAGCUUGCUCUGGUGAAUUAGUGGCGAACGGGUGAGUAACACGUGGAUAACCUGCCCUCGGCACCGGGAUAGCCCGGGGAAACCCGGAUUAAUACCGGAUGGCCCUUUCGCUCUUCGGAGCGGUCGGGAAAGGUAGCUUCGGCCUCCGGCCGCGGAUGGGUCCGCGGCGGAUUAGCUUGUUGGUGAGAUAACGGCUCACCAAGGCUCCGAUCCGUAGCUGGUCUGAGAGGACGAUCAGCCACACUGGGACUGAGACACGGCCCAGACUCCUACGGGAGGCAGCAGUAGGGAAUCUUGCGCAAUGGGCGAAAGCCUGACGCAGCGACGCCGCGUGCGGGAAGACGGCCUUCGGGUUGUAAACCGCUUUCAGGAGGGACGAAGCCACUCGGGUGAAUAGCCCAGAGGGUGACGGUACCUCCAGAAGAAGCCCCGGCUAACUACGUGCCAGCCGCCGCCGUAA
rnacentral:rRNA from 1 species